CCUACGGGAGGCAGCAGUGAGGAAUAUUGGACAAUGGGUGCAAGCCUGAUCCAGCCAUCCCGCGUGAAGGAUUAAGGUCCUAUGGAUUGUGAACUUCUUUUAUACAGGGAUAAACCUCUCCUCGUGAGGAGAGCUGAAGGUACUGUAUGAAUAAGCACCGGCUAACUCCGUGCCAGCAGCCGCGGUAAU
rnacentral:rRNA from 1 species